AAAUCCGAGAAUGAGGCUAUGGAGUUGGACUCUAAGGUUGAGAACCAAUCCCUAGCAGCAUUCGUCAAAGUUUGCGGGAAGGCCUUGCACAUCACCUGAUCCGGUGCGACCUGUAAAUUCAUGACGUCCGUGUAUACGUUCAGAUGAUUGAUUGGAUCAGUGGUCCCAUCAUAUUCUUUGAUCCUAGGAUACUUAAAUCUGUCUGGCAAGGGGAAUGUUAAUAUCUCAGGAGUAAAGGGAGUGUUGGGACUGAAUCUUGUUGUCCCUUUGUUGCCCUGGAGUAGGCCCGCCGUAGUUCCUUCUUGAAUAAUCCUAGCGAGUUCCCCAGACUCCAUGGUCACUGAUCUCAAGGCCGAGGUCACCUGUGGUAUACCCGAGGCCCCUGCUCCGCCAUUGUCAGGGACAUGAGCUCGAGCUCGAGCAUCAGCCAUAAAACCCCCCUGGGGUGCCGGAUGCUAAUUUCUUUGACUUAGCAGCUGAGUCAAUGUGGCGACCUGUUGUCUGAGCUCUUCAAAGGCUCCAGUAGUGACGACUGCCGGCUGGGGCUCUGGCACUUCUGAUGAUUCCUCUUGAGGAACAGGGAUAUUCUCAAGAGGGGGUUGGUUUGGAGCGGAUGAGCUUGCGGGUGGAAGACCUGAUCGUGUGUUUACCAUGGCUUUUGGUAGCGAUUCCCACAGACGGCGCCAAUGAUGCUACCAAAAAUCGUACCUGUAGAUUUCCCGAGCUUGAUGACUGGUGAGGAGCACGAACGUGAUCUUCCGAUACCUGAAACAAAGACAACGAGGUGUGUUCUCGUCGCCCCUCCGAUGCUUAAGUCAGAAAGGGAAAUAUAUGCGUGAGGCUAUGUGCUGAAGAACAAUGAAAAAACGUACCUGAAUAAUGGCCCAAGGUUCUGCUUUUAUAGGAGUAGGUAGUGUACUCCUAGUAGGAUUGUGUUGGUUGGAUGUU
rnacentral:lncRNA from 1 species